rnacentral:misc_RNA from 1 species
AGUCGUAACAAGGUUUCUGUAGGUGAACCUGCAGAAGGAUCAUUAGUGAAAGUUUCGGGCCUGCCAUACGGACGCAAACACGUCUCUGGCGCCCACUCACUAUAUCCAUACCAACCCCUGUGCACUGUGAUGACGAAUGUCAUCGAACAAAAAAAAACUCGUAUGGUUGAAUGUACGUGAAAUUGUAGGUAUAGCCUACGAACUAUACACAACUUUCGACAACGGAUCUCUUGGUUCUCCCAUCGAUGAAGAACGCAGCGAAACGCGAUAGGUAAUGUGAAUUGCAGAAUUCCGUGAAUCAUCGAAUCUUUGAACGCACCUUGCGCUCCAUGGUAUUCCGUGGAGCAUGCCUGUUUGAGUGCCGCGAAUUCUCCCUCCCCUUACGGUGGCCGAAAGGCCGAAGUAGGGCGGACGGGGUAGGAUGGGUGUUUGCUGCCUGGGGAUUGUACCAGGCUCGCCCGAAAUGCAUAAGCGCCAGGACCCUCGCUACCGCUCUCUAGGGAAGAGUGGCUAAGCGACCGCUGAGCAUGGCAUGAUACGUCAUUUGCUGUGUGUGGGCGGCCGGUUGGAGAGGUGUCUGCUUUACCAGCCCUAU